GUGGUCGUGGCACUUCAGCAUCCAACUACCACUGCAGAAGAGGAGCGAGUGCAAGCAGAGCAACAAAUAUCAGGAAAACACACAAACUUUCUGCAGAGUUUAUUGCACAAUGUGUCUGCUAGCUAAAGGAACAGAUGCUGGAUUUAUAGAGGUGCAAAGUAAUGAAGUACAAAUACUUCAUUACUAUACCUAAGGAGAAUUUCCAGGUAUCUGUACUUUACUUGAGUAUUUAAUUUUAAUUUUACUCCCUAUAUUUUUACACAAAUAUCUGUAGCUUCUACUCUUUACACUUUAGGUUUAACACAUUUUCAGGAUGUUUUUAUUGAAGGAUUGAGCCAUGGUGGUUCCUGUGUAGUUCCUGAACAUCUUAAUCAGUUUCCUCAUAAAAGGAUGAAAGUCUGGCCCUAUAACCUUGGCAAAGUUACAUCCAAAUAACUUCUAAUUGCAAUUGUUUAAACUGAUGAUCUUGGAAUUUACAGUUGUUUAGAAAUGAAAGGGACCUUUUCUAACUUGUUUGCCUUAGAUCUUCACAGAGUUCCUUGCACUUUCUUAUUGUUCUGGUCAAACCAGUCCUUUUUCAUGCUAGCAAAGAGACGCUACAACUUGUACUCAAUCACGAUCACUAAAAAGUUAAUAUGCAUCAGCCCUGUCAACUUUAUUGACUUUGUUGAACCUUCAGCAGGGCUGGAAUGCCACAAAAAUUGGCCCUGGCAUUUUGACUACCAGGCAUUAUAGGAAAAACAAUAAAAAGGCUUUGAAUGAAAAAAACAAAACAAAAAAAAAACAGUCUUGUUGGCAUAUAUGUAUGAUUUCUAUACAUUUUACAUCAGAUAAUUAUUUAAUAAAAGCUAGACAUUUUAAAUAAGAAUAAGAAAGAAAAGUAUUUCUUUGUGCCCCACUUUCCCUGUUAAUGCCCUACCUGCCCCCCUGGCAAAACUCUGCUAGACCCGCCCCUGCACAGUUACUAGCUGUCAGCUACAAACAACACCUUAAGAAGGUGUUGUUUGUCUCUCAGAAACAUUUCAUAACUUCCCUUCAACUCAUUCAUGUCACCUAAAAGAUAAACCUGUUUCUCCAUCACCUGCUCAGCUCAGUAAGGACAUCUCCUGGUUUCAUCUUCAUAUUUUCCUCUCACAAGACAUCAAAACCGAUACUAGGACCAGCAGCGUUUACAGACGCCAUUCCAGCAAACAUCAGCUGAUACUAGAAAGUAAUAUAAAAUAAAUUCUAACAACAGCUUAUCAAACUUAAACGUGUUGUUUAGCG
ensembl:lncRNA